rnacentral:rRNA from 1 species
GGCNAGCGGCGGACGGGUGAGUAAUGCCUGGGAAUAUGCCCUGAUGUGGGGGAUAACCAUUGGAAACGAUGGCUAAUACCGCAUAAUCUCUUCGGAGCAAAGAGGGGGACCUUCGGGCCUCUCGCGUCAGGAUUAGCCCAGGUGAGAUUAGCUAGUUGGUGAGGUAAGAGCUCACCAAGGCGACGAUCUCUAGCUGGUCUGAGAGGAUGAUCAGCCACACUGGAACUGAGACACGGUCCAGACUCCUACGGGAGGCAGCAGUGGGGAAUAUUGCACAAUGGGGGAAACCCUGAUGCAGCCAUGCCGCGUGUGUGAAGAAGGCCUUCGGGUUGUAAAGCACUUUCAGUCGUGAGGAAGGCAUAUGCGUUAAUAGCGUAUGUGUUUGACGUUAGCGACAGAAGAAGCACCGGCUAACUCCGUGCCAGCAGCCGCGGUAAUACGGAGGGUGCGAGCGUUAAUCGGAAUUACUGGGCGUAAAGCGCAUGCAGGCGGCUUGUUAAGCCAGAUGUGAAAGCCCGGGGCUCAACCUCGGAAUAGCAUUUGGAACUGGCAGGCUAGAGUCUUGUAGAGGGGGGUAGAAUUUCAGGUGUAGCGGUGAAAUGCGUAGAGAUCUGAAGGAAUACCGGUGGCGAAGGCGGCCCCCUGGACAAAGACUGACGCUCAGAUGCGAAAGCGUGGGGAGCAAACAGGAUUAGAUAC